rnacentral:misc_RNA from 1 species
CGCACCUUGCGCCUCUUGGUAUUCCGAGAGGCAUGCCUGUUUGAGUGUCAUGAAACAUCAAUCCCCAAGGGUUUCUUGACCCAUGGCGGACUUGGAUCUGGGCGCCUGCCUCUCAAGGCUCGCCUCAAAUGACUCUGUGGGAUCUUCUUGACCUAUGCCUGACGUGAUAAGUUUCGUCUCGGCCGGUCCUGAGGCCCGCUCAUAACACCCCAUAUCUUUGCCAUUGACCUCAAAUCAGGUAGGGCUACCCGCUGAACUUAA